rnacentral:rRNA from 1 species
UAAGACGUAGGGCGCAAGCGUUGUCCGGAUUUAUUGGGCGUAAAGAGCUCGUAGGCGGCUUGUUGCGUCUGCCAUGUAAUCCUGCGGCUUAACUGUGGGUGUGUGGUGGAUACGGGUGGGCUUGAGUGCGGUAGGGGAGACUGGAAUUCCUGGUGUAGCGGUGAAAUGCGCAGAUAUUAGGAGGAACACCGGUGGCGAAGGCGGGUCUCUGGGCCGUUACUGACGCUGAGGAGCGAAAGCGUGGGGAGCGAACAGGAUUAGAUACCCUGGUAGUCCAUGCUGUAAACGUUGGGCGCUAGGUGUGGGGGCCCUUCCCGGGUUUCUGUGCCGUAGCUAACGCAUUAAGCGCCCCGCCUGGGGAGUACGGCCGCAAGGCUA